AGAGUUUGAUCCUGGCUCAGGAUGAACGCUGGCGGCGUGCCUAACACAUGCAAGUCGAGCGGGAUUGUGGAGUAGCUUGCUACGAAGCAAUCUAGCGGCGGACGGGUGAGUAACGCGUGGGCAACCUGCCCUAUACAGGGGGAUAACACACCGAAAGGUGUGCUAAUACCCCAUAACACCGAUGCUUCGCAUGGAGAGUCGGUCAAAGAUUUAUCGGUAUAGGAUGGGCCCGCGUCUGAUUAGCUAGUUGGUGAGGUAAAGGCUCACCAAGGCGACGAUCAGUAGCCGACCUGAGAGGGUGAUCGGCCACACUGGAACUGAGACACGGUCCAGACUCCUACGGGAGGCAGCAGUGGGGAAUAUUGCACAAUGGGGGAAACCCUGAUGCAGCAACGCCGCGUGAGCGAUGAAGGCCUUCGGGUCGUAAAGCUCUGUCCUAAGGGAAGAAGAAUGACGGUACCUUAGGAGGAAGCCCCGGCUAACUACGUGCCAGCAGCCGCGGUAAUACGUAGGGGGCAAGCGUUAUCCGGAAUCACUGGGCGUAAAGGGUGCGUAGGCGGCCGAUAAAGUCUGGGGUGAAAGGCUACGGCUUAACCGUAGUAAGCCUUGGAAACUUAUUGGCUUGAGUGCAGGAGAGGUAAGUGGAAUUCCUAGUGUAGCGGUGAAAUGCGUAGAUAUUAGGAGGAACACCAGUGGCGAANGCGACUUACUGGACUGUAACUGACGCUGAGGCACGAAAGCGUGGGGAGCGAACA
rnacentral:rRNA from 1 species